rnacentral:rRNA from 1 species
ACGCUCGACACCUACGGGAGGCAGCAGUGGGGAAUAUUGCACAAUGGGGGAAACCCUGAUGCAGCGACGCCGCGUGAGCGAAGAAGUAUUUCGGUAUGUAAAGCUCUAUCAGCAGGGAAGAAAAUGACGGUACCUGACUAAGAAGCACCGGCUAAAUACGUGCCAACAGCCGCGGUAAUCUGAGCGGGCUGGCAAGGC